rnacentral:rRNA from 1 species
GACGUAGGGCGCGAGCGUUGUCCGGAUUUAUUGGGCGUAAAGAGCUCGUAGGCGGCUUGUCGCGUCGAAUGUGAAAACCCACAGCUCAACUGUGGGCUUGCAUUCGAUACGGGCAGGCUCGAGUUCGGUAGGGGAGACUGGAAUUCCUGGUGUAGCGGUGAAAUGCGGCAGAUAUCAGGAGGAACACCGGUGGCGAAGGCGGGUCUCU